rnacentral:rRNA from 1 species
UUUCUUUGGACCGUCCCCUUUUUUGGAUAAGCGGCGGACGGGUGAAUAACAACGUGAGCAUCCUCCCGUACACAUUGGGGCUAGCCUUUGGGAAAUAUGGAUUCAUUUCCAACCGGAAACAUAUUGAUAGCAUUAUCAAAAUGUCAAAGAUUUAUCGGUGUACGAUGGGCUCGCGUCUGAUUUUGCUAGUUGGUGAGAUAAAAGUUCACCAAGGCAAUGAUCAGUAGCCGGCCUGAGAGGGUGAUCGGCCACAUUGGGACUGAGACACGGCCCAUACUCCUACCGGAGGCAGCAGUGGGGAAUCUUGCACAAUAGAGGAAACUCUGAUGCAGCGACGUCGCGUGAACGAUGAAGGUUUUCGGAUCGUAAAGUUCUGUCCUUGGGGACGAUAAUGACGGUACCCAAGGAGGAAGCCCCGGCUAACUACGUGCCAGCAGCCGCGUUAAUACGUAGGGAGCGAGCUUUGUCCGGAUUUAUUGGGCGUAAAGGGUUCGCAGGCGGCCUUAUAAGUCAGAUGUUAAAGACCAUAGCUUAACUAUGGAAAGCAUUUGAAACUGUAUGGCUUGAGUCAAGGAGAGGAAAGUGGAAUUCCUAGUGUAGCGGUGAAAUGCGUAGAUAUUAGGAGGAAUACCAGUGGCGAAGGCGACUUUCUGGACUUAUACUGACACUGAGGAACGAAAGCAUGGGGAGCAAACAAAAUUAGAUACCCUGUUCGCUCAUGCCGUAAAUGAUGAGAAAUAGGUGUCGGGGGUCAAACCUCGGUGCCGGAGCUAACGCAUUAA